rnacentral:rRNA from 1 species
UACAGAGACUGCAAGCGUUAUUCGGAUUCACUGGGCGUAAAGGGUGCGCAGGUGGCCAAGUGUGUCAGGUGUGAAAUCCCGGAGCUUAACUCCGGAACUGCGCCUGAAACUGCAUGGCUAGAGCAUUGGAGAGGGAAGUGGAAUUCACGGUGUAGCAGUGAAAUGCGUAGAUAUCGUGAGGAACACCAGAGGCGAAAGGCGACUUCCUGGACAAUUGCUGACACUCAGGCACGAAAGCGUGGGUAGCCAAAGGG